UUAGACUAUUGCGGUAGUUAUUACAAUGUCUCACAUUGUUUGGGAUUAAAAAUUUUGGGCAUUACAUAAAGAAUGUAACAAUCAUUAAUUCUUUAAGUAGUGUUUUGGUUAAGUUAUAUCACAUUCCUAAUAUAGUAUCAGAGCCUAUGAUUGGCCCAACAGACAAAUUCCGACAAAAAUGGUUUUCCACUUAUAUAGUCCAUACAAGUAGUAUGUCUUGUUGUAUUUCCGAGAUGUUGGACUUGGACUGUUUUUCGUUGGACCGUUUCCCAUCUAUAUUUCAAAAACGCGUAUUAGAAUAUCCUACAUCGCUUCAGAUUAAAAUCUUAGACAUAAUAUAAAAGAUAUAGCAAUCUUUGACUUUUGAGCUAGCUUUUGGAUUAGUUAGAUCACAUUUCUA
rnacentral:sRNA from 1 species